rnacentral:rRNA from 1 species
GAUGAACGCUGGCGGCGUGCCUAAUACAUGCAAGUCGAGCGAACGGACGAGAAGCUUGCUUCUCUGAUGUUAGCGGCGGACGGGUGAGUAACACGUGGAUAACCUACCUAUAAGACUGGGAUAACUUCGGGAAACCGGAGCUAAUACCGGAUAAUAUUUUGAACCGCAUGGUUCAAAAGUGAAAGACGGUCUUGCUGUCACUUAUAGAUGGAUCCGCGCUGCAUUAGCUAGUUGGUAAGGUAACGGCUUACCAAGGCGACGAUGCGUAGCCGACCUGAGAGGGUGAUCGGCCACACUGGAACUGAGACACGGUCCAGACUCCUACGGGAGGCAGCAGUAGGGAAUCUUCCGCAAUGGGCGAAAGCCUGACGGAGCAACGCCGCGUGAGUGAUGAAGGUCUUCGGAUCGUAAAACUCUGUUAUUAGGGAAGAACAAAUGUGUAAGUAACUAUGCACGUCUUGACGGUACCUAAUCAGAAAGCCACGGCUAACUACGUGCCAGCAGCCGCGGUAAUACGUAGGUGGCAAGCGUUAUCCGGAAUUAUUGGGCGUAAAGCGCGCGUAGGCGGUUUUUUAAGUCUGAUGUGAAAGCCCACGGCUCAACCGUGGAGGGUCAUUGGAAACUGGAAAACUUGAGUGCAGAAGAGGAAAGUGGAAUUCCAUGUGUAGCGGUGAAAUGCGCAGAGAUAUGGAGGAACACCAGUGGCGAAGGCGACUUUCUGGUCUGUAACUGACGCUGAUGUGCGAAAGCGUGGGGAUCAAACAGGAUUAGAUACCCUGGUAGUCCACGCCGUAAACGAUGAGUGCUAAGUGUUAGGGGGUUUCCGCCCCUUAGUGCUGCAUCUAACGCAUUAAGCACUCCGCCUGGGGAGUACGACCGCAAGGUUGAAACUCAAAGGAAUUGACGGGGACCCGCACAAGCGGUGGAGCAUGUGGUUUAAUUCGAAGCAACGCGAAGAACCUUACCAAAUCUUGACAUCCUCUGACCCCUCUAGAGAUAGAGUUUUCCCCUUCGGGGGACAGAGUAACAGGUGGUGCAUGGUUGUCGUCAGCUCGUGUCGUGAGAUGUUGGGUUAAGUCCCGCAACGAGCGCAACCCUUAAGCUUAGUUGCCAUCAUUAAGUUGGGCACUCUAAGUUGACUGCCGGUGACAAACCGGAGGAAGGUGGGGAUGACGUCAAAUCAUCAUGCCCCUUAUGAUUUGGGCCACACACGUGCUACAAUGGACAAUACAAAGGGCAGCGAAACCGCGAGGUCAAGCAAAUCCCAUAAAGUUGUUCUCAGUUCGGAUUGUAGUCUGCAACUCGACUAUAUGAAGCUGGAAUCGCUAGUAAUCGUAGAUCAGCAUGCUACGGUGAAUACGUUCCCGGGUCU